AAACGAUGAGAAAUGGGUGACAAAAACAAAUUAAUAAAAUUUAAAUACGAUGUGCCACAUAAAUACACAUAGCACUUCCAUUGUGCAGUCGUAGUACCGAGAAUUGAAUGAAAUCGAAUUAGAAGCCGGGCCGGACCGGACCGGACCCCGCGCGGAGGCAAUCAAAUCAGCGAAGCUCCGGCGCGGGGCACGUCGUAUAUCAGUUCCAUGGAAGGAACAAACUGGAGCAUAGAGUGUGAAGCGUACGGUAUGGGAGAAGUGGGGAAGGUUGCCUCCGGACACUGGCGCCAGUGGAGUGAAGCAACAACUGACAAUAACAAAAUAGACACAAAUUGCAGGCGUCAUAAUACCUAUUAAAUCGGGUAGAAUAGAAGCUACAUGGCGCGAAUCGAGCCGAGCACUGAUGAAAUCAGAUGGAAUUGAAUAAUUAAAAAAAAAAAAAACACACAAACAAACAAACAAGCAACAAAUAGUUGAAAAAAGUGUAAUCUUACUGCCACAAGAUCCUCUCUUGCACAGGCACUUGUGAGAGUGCAAUCGGUGUACUUGAGUUGCAUUCUCACUGCUCGUCGCUGCCACAACCCAACAUCUGCCACAUCGAGUGGUGUCGCGUCUCGAGUGGCCGCGAGAGGUCUUCAAACUCUGCUGACAGUUUCGACAUAUAGCACAUGGCCCACGGACUGAACGGAUCUCGAUCUCCAUCUCCAUCUCCAUACGAUGCUCGUAUGUGUGUAAUAUCUCAAUCAGCAGCGGCAACGGCAGCAACGGCAGCCAGUAGAGAUUUCCUUCCCGAAUCGUUCGAAUAUCGUUUCCCACAUUAAUUAUGAGACAAUUAAAAGAUGCGGGGGAAUUCCA